GGCCGAUUAGCUGAGUUGUUUAGAGCGUGGUGCUGAUAACACCAAGGUUGUGAGUUCGAUCCCCGUUCGGUCC
rnacentral:tRNA from 1 species